rnacentral:rRNA from 1 species
GGUUUUUAGUAAUUAUUAAAAAUCAGGCCUGCUCAAUGCAUAAGUAAAUAGCCGCAGUAUCUUGACUGUGCAAAGGUAGCAUAAUMAUUAGCCUUUUAAUUGGAGGCUGGAAUGAAGGGUUAAACUAAAUAAUUUUGUCUCAUAAUAAUAUUUUGAAUUUUAUUUUUUAGUAAAAAAGCUAAAAUAACAUUUAAAGACGAGAAGACCCUAUCGAGCUUUACAAAUUUAAUUUUAUUUUUCUUAAAUAAAUUUUGUUUGUUUUACUGGGGCAGUAAGUAAAAGUUUUUUACUUAAGUAUUAUGAAUUAUUUUUCUUGUUAAAUCAAAAAAUUUUUAAACAAAAAUAAGUUACCGUAGGGAUAACAGCGUAAUUUUUUUUUAGAGAACAUAUUGACAAAAAAGUUUGCGACCUCGAUGUUGGAUUAAGAUACCUAUUUAGUGCAAAAGCAAAAUUAGGAAGUCUGUUCGACUUUUAAAUUCUUCCA